rnacentral:rRNA from 1 species
GCGCUCGUGUGAUACGGAGUUUCAUCCGGUAAAGCGAAUGAUUAGAGGAGCUGGGCUCCUUGCGAGCUCAACCUAUUCUCAAACUUUCAAUGGGUGAGACGUCUCGCUGGCUUCACUGCAGCGACGACUCUGAAUCCGAGUGCCCAGUGGGCCACUUUUGGUAAGCAGAACUGGCGAUGCGGGAUGAACCGCAUGUCGAGCUAAGGUGCCUAAGCGGACGCAAAUCAGAUACCAUGAAAGGUGUUGAUUGCUCACGACAGCAGGACGGUGGCCAUGGAAGUCGGCACCCGCUAAGGAGUGUGUAACAACUCACCUGCCGAAGCAAUCAGCCCUGAAAAUGGAUGGCGCUAAAGCGUUCCACCGAUGCUCGACCGUCGUCGGCAUGCGACGCGCUUGCCGCGUCUGAAGCCACGACGAGUAGGGCGGCGCAGUGGUGAGCGUUGAAGGCGUAGCCGUGAGGCUAGCUGGAGCCGCCAUUGGUGCAGAUCUUGGUGGUAGUAGCAAAUACACAAGCAAGAUCCUUGUGGACCGAUGUGGAGAAGGGUUCCGCGCGAACAGUACUUGGACGUGGGUGAGUCGGCCCUAAGCCAACGGGUAAUUCCCGCAUCCCGUGUUUAUCAUCUAUYWWWWUGAGCAACAUGGGUUGAU